UGGGGAAUAUUGGACAAUGGGCGCAAGCCUGAUCCAGCAAUGCCGCGUGUGUGAAGAAGGUCUUCGGAUUGUAAAGCACUUUCGGCGGGGACGAUGAUGACGGUACCCGCAGAAGAAGCCCCGGCUAACUUCGUGCCAGCAGCCGCGGUAAUACGAAGGGGGCUAGCGUUGCUCGGAAUUACUGGGCGUAAAGGGCGCGUAGGCGGCGCAGAUAGUCAGGCGUGAAAUUCCUGGGCUUAACCUGGGGGCUGCGCUUGAUACGUCUGUGCUAGAGGACGGAAGAGGGUCGUGGAAUUCCCAGUGUAGAGGUGAAAUUCGUAGAUAUUGGGAAGAACACCGGUGGCGAAGGCGGCGACCUGGUCCGUUACUGACGCUGAGGCGCGACAGCGUGGGGAGCAAA
rnacentral:rRNA from 1 species